GACGAACGCUGGCGGCGUGCUUAACACAUGCAAGUCGAGCGGUAAGGCCCUUUCGGGGGUACACGAGCGGCGAACGGGUGAGUAACACGUGGGUGACCUGCCCGUCAGCUCUGGGAUAAGCCUGGGAAACCGGGUCUAAUACUGGAUAUGACUCCAUGACGCAUGUUGUGGGGUGGAAAGCCUUGUGCGGCUGAGGAUGGGCCCGCGGCCUAUCAGCUUGUUGGUGGGGUGANGGCCUACCAAGGCGACGACGGGUAGCCGGCCUGAGAGGGCGACCGGCC
rnacentral:rRNA from 1 species